rnacentral:misc_RNA from 1 species
UCUCCGUUGGUGAACCAGCGGAGGGAUCAUUACCGAGUUUACAACUCCCAAACCCCAUGUGAACCUUACCAAACGUUGCUUCGGCGGGAUGCCCCGGGCGCGGGCCCCAAGGCCUCAGCCCCGGAACCAGGCGCCCGCCGGAGGCCCAAACCAAACUCUUGUUUUUGUAGAAUCUUCUGAGUGGCCUUUUAGGCAAAAAAUGAAUCAAAACUUUCAACAACGGAUCUCUUGGUUCUG